UUUCAGGAUGAUUUAUUCUAUUUUAUCACGACGGUCAACGUAGCAUAUGCUUUGACGACCACAGCCUCUGACAGGGCUUAGAUCUGAUU
rnacentral:snoRNA from 1 species